rnacentral:misc_RNA from 1 species
AAAGUCGUAACAAGGUUUCCGUAGGUGAACCUGCGGAAGGAUCAUUAAUGAAUAAAUAGGGUGCUCUCUUCAUCAGAGAGGCCUAACCUUCAUUCUUCUACACUGUGAACUAUUAUUCUUUCUUUCUCGUCUUCUCUCUCUUGGUUUGGCUUCACGGCCGCCUUUGAUUGAAGUUGAGAGAGAAUCAACCUUUUUAAACUCUAAACAAGUCUAAGAAUGUAAACCUAUAAAAACAAAAGAAAAACUUUCAACAACGGAUCUCUUGGCUCUC